rnacentral:misc_RNA from 1 species
UGAAAUUUCAAAAGCUGCAGUCUUCAUGCAUGCAAACUGCGAUCAAUUUUUAUUUUUGUAUUCGUGAUGCUAUGAAACAUCGCAAUUGAGUCUUCAAUUUCGCGCUCAGUUGAUUGGUGUAAUCUGAAAUAUCGCGAAUUCCACUUCAGUCUUUGUUAUUGCAGCUACGGAUGGCGCCGGUAGCACCGCAAGCGUUCGCAAUUCUUUUUGCACCCCAGGGAUGAUGACCUUCGGCCAAUGAAAAAAGAUUCCUACGAAACCUGCUGCCGCUGCCGUACGAUUCAAAUACCACGAGGGCGGGUCGUGCGAAUUCCAACCAACUCGAUGUCAUCGCCAGCAGUAUAUUACUCCACCUUUGUGAAGCGUGCCCAUGCUUUUACUCGGCCUCUGCAUCAUAUUAGCUGAGUUGAUAUCCACAAAUAUAAUUUAGUUCGCGCAUAUAUGAAUACGCAGAUACUUUUUACAUUUAAGUAUAAUAAAAAUCAAAUACUAAUAUAAUCAAAUUAAGUAAUGUUAAUGUAAUCAUAUGUGAUAUCGUAAGAAUUGCUCAUAAG